rnacentral:rRNA from 1 species
UACGUAGGGGGCAAGCGUUAUCCGGAAUUACUGGGUGUAAAGGGAGCGUAGACGGCAUAGCAAGUCUGAUGUGAAAGAUCGGGGCUCAACCCCGGGCCUGCAUUGGAAACUGUUAAGCUGGAGUACAGGAGAGGUAAGCGGAAUUCCUAGUGUAGCGGUGAAAUGCGUAGAUAUUAGGAGGAACACCAGUGGCGAAGGCGGCUUACUGGACCGUAACUGACGUUGAGGCUCGAAAGCGUGGGGAGCAAACAGG